rnacentral:rRNA from 1 species
UACGUAGGGGGCAAGCGUUGUCCGGAAUCAUUGGGCGUAAAGAGCGCGUAGGCGGUCCGGUAAGUCCGCUGUGAAAGUCCAGGGCUCAACCCUGGGAUGCCGAUCGAUACUGCCGGACUAGAGUCCGGAAGAGGCGAGUGGAAUUCCCGGUGUAGCGGUGAAAUGCGCAGAUAUCGGGAGGAACACCAAUGGCGAAGGCAGCUCGCUGGGACGGUACUGACGCUGAGACGCGAAAGCGUGGGGAGCAAACAGG